rnacentral:rRNA from 1 species
GACGAACGCUGGCGGCGUGCUUAACACAUGCAAGUCGAGCGGUAAGGCCCUUUCGGGGGUACACGAGCGGCGAACGGGUGAGUAACACGUGGGUGACCUGCCCUCAGCUCUGGGAUAAGCCCGGGAAACUGGGUCUAAUACCGGAUAUGACUUCAUGACGCAUGUUGUGGAGUGGAAAGCCUUGUGCGGCUGAGGAUGGGCCCGCGGCCUAUCAGCUUGUUGGUGGGGUGAUGGCCUACCAAGGCGACGACGGGUAGCCGGCCUGAGAGGGCGACCGGGCCACACUGGGACUGAGAUACGGCCCAGACUCCUACGGGAGGCAGCAGUGGGGAAUCUUGCGCAAUGGGCGAAAGCCUGACGCAGCGACGCCGCGUGA